rnacentral:tRNA from 1 species
GCCUCAUUGGCUCAGAAGAGGAGCGUCUCUCUUGUAAACAGAAGGCCUCUGCUUCGAUUCCAGAAUGAGGCA